GGAUUACCUCAGUAACGGCGAGUGAAGCGGUAAUAGCUCAAAUUUGAAAGCUAGCUCUUUUAGGGUUCGCAUUGUAAUUUGUAGAAGAUGCUUCGGGUGUGGCCCCGGUCUAAGUUCCUUGGAACAGGACGUCAUAGAGGGUGAGAAUCCCGUAUGUGACUGGGUGCUUUCGCUCAUGUGAAGCUCUUUCGACGAGUCGAGUUGUUUGGGAAUGCAGCUCAAAAUGGGUGGUAAAUUUCAUCUAAAGCUAAAUAUUGGCCAGAGACCGAUAGCGCACAAGUAGAGUGAUCGAAAGAUGAAAAGCACUUUGGAAAGAGAGUUAAACAGUACGUGAAAUUGUUGAAAGGGAAGCGCUUGCAACCAGACUUGCGCGCUGAUGAUCAUCCGGGCUUCUGCCCGGUGCACUCGUCUGCGCUCAGGCCAGCAUCGGUUUCGGUGGUGGGAUAAAGGCCUUGGGAAUGUAGCUCCUCUCGGGGAGUGUUAUAGCCCUCGGUGCAAUGCCGCCUACCGGGACCGAGGACCGCGCUUCGGCUAGGAUGCUGGCGUAAUGGUUGUAAGCGACCCGUCUUGAAACACGGACCAAGGAGUCUAACAUCUAUGCGAGUGUUUGGGUGUCAAACCCAUACGCGUAAUGAAAGUGAACGGAGGUGAGAACCCUUAAGGGUGCAUCAUCGACCGAUCCUGAUGUCUUCGGAUGGAUUUGAGUAAGAGCAUAGCUGUUGGGACCCGAAAGAUGGUGAACUAUGCGUGAAUAGGGUGAAGCCAGAGGAAACUCUGGUGGAGGCUCGCAGCGGUUCUGACGUGCAAAUCGAUCGUCAAAUUUGCGUAUAGGGGCGAAAGACUAAUCGAACCAUCUAGUAGCUG
rnacentral:rRNA from 1 species